rnacentral:rRNA from 2 species
AAGCUCGUAGUUGAAUUUCGGGGUUCUACCGUUGGUCGGGCUAACCAGUCUGUACUAGCGUGUAGAAUUCUUACCUUCUGGGGAACCAUCAUGUUAUUAAUUUAGCGUGGUGGGAAACCAGGACCUUUACCUUGAAAAAAUUAGAGUGUUCAAAGCAGGCUUACGUCUGAAUACAUUAGCAUGGAAUAAUAAAAUAGGACGGUGGUCCUGUUUUGUUGGUUUCUGAAUCACCGUAAUGAUUAAUAGGGAUAGUUGGG